GCGGCGGCUGGGUAUCCGACUCUCUGCUUUGUUCGACAAGGAGCAUGUCGCCGUCACCUUGGGUGCAGCCGUCCGGUGGAAGGCGCUCUCCCUUUUUCAGAAGGCGAGGAGGAUCGGCGGAUCCAGCCCCCCUCCUCUCCAGCUCGGUAGAGACAAAAGAGGAGGUCACCGGGAGAUGACGGAAGAUCAAAGGAGGAUGGUCAAUCGACAUAUGCGACAAAGAUCCUGUUGUGCACAAGCAUACUCCAUACAUUGUUAUCCUCGUGAGGCUUGCAGAAAAAUGGGCAGAUGCGCGUGAUGGUCAGUGACCUUCGGCCUGGAAAGAGAAAGGGGAAUUUAAGCCGUAUGCUUAAACCGCAAGUCAUCCAAGAAGUGGUCCGGUUUUACACAGUGCUCCUAAUAGUACAUUAAAAGCAAAAACAGUGAACUCCCUCAAAAUGAUUUGGCCCUUGCCUCUCAAUAUGGUUCCCGGUGCAUAAUGGACUACCAAACAAUGUUAAGAAGCCAUAGUGGCUCGGGAAGGAGUGUGAUUGUGCUAGCAGAGUAAAAGACCAUAAUGGCAAUGUCGCUCUGACUGCUCCUGGACUUCCAUGGUGGCGCUGGAAGAUUUAGCCUGCCGCUUUGCCUGCGCUUCGCCUGAUCACCGUUCAUCCAGAUAUGAUGGCAAGAAAUAAGGUUCUUGUCGGUGUCAAAACCGGUGGAUCUCGGGUAGGGGGUCCCGAACUGCGCGUCUAAGGCGGAUGGUAACAGGAGGUGGGGGAUACGAUGUUUACCCAGGUUUGGGCCCUCUCAAUGGAGGUUCAAAAUUGAACUUGUUUUGCUAUAAAUGGCCUCCCGCGGUUGUAUACAAAGCUGAAGUAGGUACCAUCUCCAUGAAAGUACUUGCAAAGGUGUGUUGGAGCUGAACUAAGGAAGUUGUCAAUGCUCAAGCCAUGUGCAAGAAGAGUGAACCAGAAAACUAAGAAGAUGUUUAUUUUUUAUUGUUUAUCCUUAGGUUGUAUUUGACUAUUUAUUGUGGCGAAUUGGCCGAGUUUUCUAAUUGGAGUCUCAUUGAGGAAUGUUGAAGGGUUUAGAUUUAUAUUUAAGGUCUACCAGUAAUAUAGGAAGCAAGUUGUGGUGUGUGUGCCAGUUAUCUUAUGAACAAGUGAGACCACCAUUAAUUUAAAUCUCUCAUAUACUUCGUUAAGU